rnacentral:tRNA from 1 species
GGGCGUGUAGCUCAGUGGUAGAGCGUUCGGUUCGCAAUCGAAAGGCCUGGGGUUCAAUCCCCCGCUCGUCCA